rnacentral:rRNA from 1 species
ACACAUGCAAGUCGAGGGGAAACGGCAUCAAGCGCUUGCGCCUGAUGGACGUCGACCGGCGCACGGGUGAGUAACGCGUAUCCAACCUGCCCCACACUAAGGGAUAACCCGCAGAAAUGUGGACUAAUACCUUAUAUUUUCCACCAAGGGCAUCGUCGAUGGAACAAAGAUUUAUCGGUAUGGGAUGGGGAUGCGUCCGAUUAGGUUGUUGGCGGGGUAACGGCCCACCAAGCCUUCGAUCGGUAGGGGUUCUGAGAGGAAGGUCCCCCACAUAGGAACUGAGACACGGUCCUAACUCCUACGGGAGGCAGCAGUGAGGAAUAUUGGUCAAUGGGCGAUAGCCUGAACCAGCCAAGUAGCGUGCAGGAAGACGGCCCUAUGGGUUGUAAACUGCUUUUAUGCGGGGAUAAAGGAGUCCACGUGUGGAUUUUUGCAGGUACCGCAUGAAUAAGGACCGGCUAAUUCCGUGCCAGCAGCCGCGGUAAUACGGAAGGUCCGGGCGUUAUCCGGAUUUAUUGGGUUUAAAGGGAGCGUAGGCCGCGUUUUAAGCGUGUUGUGAAAUGUAGACGCCCAACGUCUGCAUCGCAGCGCGAACUGGGACGCUUGAGUACGCGCAACGUUGGCGGAAUUCGUCGUGUAGCGGUGAAAUGCUUAGAUAUGACGAGGAACUCCGAUUGCGAAGGCAGCUGACGGGAGCGGCACUGACGCUUAAGCUCGAAGGUGCGGGUAUCAAACAGGAUUAGAUACCCUGGUAGUCCGCACAGUAAACGAUGGAUGCCCGCUGUGUGCCAUUUAUGGUACGCGGCUAAGCGAAAGCGUUAAGCAUCCCACCUGGGGAGUACGCCGGCAACGGUGAAACUCAAAGGAAUUGACGGGGGCCCGCACAAGCGG